UCAGGGGUCUCACAGCCUUCAGAGCUGAGAGCCCCGAACAGAGAUUUACCCACAUAUUUAUUGACAGCAAGCCAGUGAUAAGCAUUGUUUCUAUAGAUUAUAGAUUUACUAAAAGUAUUCCUUACGGGAAACAAAGGAAUGGGCUGAAACAAAGGGAUGGGCUCUGGCUAGUCAUCUGCAGCAGGAACAAGUCCCUAAGGCACAGAUCGCUCGUGCUAUUGUUUGUGGCUUAGGAACACCUGAAGCUGUUUUCCAUCCUGGGUGGGCCAGGCAUUCCUUGCACUCAUUCCAGUAAACCGACAGCCUUCCAGGGCAUUGUGGCCACCAUGAACACAUCACAGUGCUGCAGAGAUUUUGUUUAUGGCCAGUUUUGGGGCCAGUUUAUGGCCAGAUUUGGGGGCCUGUUCCCAACACCUGGGUAUGUGCAGAUACACUGUCUAGUAUGAGAGUCACAGAGUGGGUGUCUUGUGUUCGCUUCUUGCCUAACAGCAGCAACCCUAUCACUGUCUCCUGUAGCUGGGACAAGCUGGUCAAGGUAUGGAAUCUGGCUAACUGCAAACUGAAGACCAACCACAUUGGCCACACAGGUUAUCUGAACACUGUGACUGUCUCUCCGGAUGGAUCCCUCUGUGCAUCUGGAGGCAAGGAUGGCCAGGCCAUGCUAUGGGAUCUCAAUGAAGGCAAACACCUUUAUAUGCUAGAUGGUGGGGGCAUUAUCAACACCCUAUGCUUCAGUACCAACUGCUACUGGCUCUGUGUUGUCGUGGGCCCGGGCAUCAAGAUCUGGGACUUAUCAUCGUAGAUGAACUGACGCAAGAAGUUAUCAGUACUGGCAGCAAGGCAGAACUGCCCCAGUGUACCUCCCUGGCCUGGUCUGUUGAUGGUCAUUUGUUUGCUGGCUACACAGACAACCUGGUGUGAGUGUGGCAGGUGACAUGGGCACCUGCUAGAAGUUUAUGA